UACAGAGGGUGCGAGCGUUAAUCGGAAUUACUGGGCGUAAAGCGCGCGCAGGCGGCCUACCAAGUACAACGUGAAAUCUCCCUGCUCAACGGGGAGGGAGCGUAGUAAACUGGUAAGCUAGAGGACGGUAGAGGGGGGUAGAAUUGCUGGUGUAGCGGUGAAAUGCGCAGAUAUCAGGAAGAACACCAAUGGCGAAGGCAGCUCUCUGGGACGGUACUGACGCUGAGACGCGAAAGCGUGGGGAGCGAACAGG
rnacentral:rRNA from 1 species